rnacentral:rRNA from 1 species
UACGUAGGGUGCGAGCGUUAAUCGGAAUUACUGGGCGUAAAGCGUGCGCAGGCGGUUGUGCAAGACCGAUGUGAAAUCCCCGGGCUCAACCUGGGAAUUGCAUUUGUGACUGCACGGCUAGAGUGUGUCAGAGGGGGGUAGAAUUCCACGUGUAGCAGUGAAAUGCGUAGAGAUGUGGAGGAAUACCGAUGGCGAAGGCAGCCCCCUGGGAUAACACUGACGCUCAUGCACGAAAGCGUGGGGAGCAAACAGG